AUUGAACGCUGGCGGCAUGCUUUACACAUGCAAGUCGGACGAGUGGCGGACGGGUGAGUAAUGCAUCGGAACGUGCCGAGUAGCGGGGGAUAACUAUUCGAAAGGGUAGCUAAUACCGCAUACUAUUAGAGCGGCCGAUAUCUGAUUAGCUAGUUGGUGGGGUAAAGGCCCACCAAGGCGACGAUCAGUAGCGGGUCUGAGAGGAUGACCAGCCACACUGGGACUGAGACACGGCCCAGACUCCUACGUGAGGCAGCAGUGGGGAAUUUUGGACAAUGGGGGCAAGCCUGAUCCAGCCAUGCCGCGUGUCUGAAGAAGGCCUUCGGGUUGUAAAGUACUUUUGUCAGAGAAGCGGUACCUGCAGAAUAAGCACCGGCUAACUACGUGCCAGCAGCCGCGGUAAUAC
rnacentral:rRNA from 1 species